GGGAAGGAGGCAGAUCAGGUCAGCUUUCUCCUUUCCUUCAACCCACCCGUGGCCUCUUCUCUUCCUCCCUCCCCCUUGGCUAAUCUCCUUUGCCUCCCUCCCUCUUGGCAGUCCUCAUUUCAGGAUUGGGAUUAAAGCUGGACUCUGGAACUGCCUGGCUUUAAAAUGCAGCGUCUGAAUUCAGCAUGUCUGAGGUUCCUUAACAGUGAAAUGGGCCUAUUACCAACACAGCACAGACUUGCUAUGAGGAUGCAAGCGACUUACAUGAAAAGCAAUUAGAACAGUACUUGGCAUGAAAUCCCAGGAGCCAGACCGCCUCACUCCAAGAGAAGACUAGAAGAAUCUGCUCCAGGAAAGCUGAAUAAAGGCCCAAAAGGAAAGACUUGAAGAUACUGAUAUUGAAGGUCUCCAGUAAAGCAGCCUAGCCAGCCCAUUCUCAGUGGAGUUAUCAUGGAGUUCAAGUUGCCAAGUCAUACCCAGGGUGCAGAGUUUCCACAGCUUCAAGGUCCCCUCCCUCAUAACUAUGAGUAGAUAGCCAAGGAUGACCAAAUAUGUGAGUGAAACCACAGACAUGAAAGAUAUAAAAAACAGAGACACGGAAAAAAAUUAAUAAACUUUAAGAGGAAACAAAUGAUUCAGAGAAAAGAAAACUUCACAGCGAAGUAUCAUUAUUACCUUAAGAGAGAGAAGUACGAAGAUAGCAUACCCAUGAAACAAGAACAUACACAAUGCUUCAAAAGAGGAGUUCUUAUUCCAACGAAUGCAGCCAGAGAUUAUAAAUGUCCUGAAAGAAGACCAAACUAAUACAAGUUUUUAUUUUGCUCCCCAAAGUCAAACUUUAAGAGCAAGUUUUUAUGAUCAAGUUUCUAGAUCCAAACACCAAUUUAUAGAAAAUACUUAAACUCCACCACAGCAAUGCAAAAUCAUCAAGAUCCAGACUGUGGGAAAUUCUAUAUAACAAAUAAAUUGUAAGAGAAAGAAAGAAGUUGGAAAGGGAACAUAUAGACUAAAAGAGACUGAAAAGAACAACCAAUCCAAACUUACAGAUCUUAUUUUGAUUUGAUUUCAAAAACAAACUAUAUUAAAAAAAAAAAACCUUAUGAUAUCUAUGAGACUAUUAGAAAUUUGAAUACUUUUGCAUAUUAGGUUAAGAAACUAUUAUUAAUUUGGGUGGGGUGGAGGGCUU